UACAGAGGGUGCAAGCGUUAAUCGGAAUUACUGGGCGUAAAGCGUGCGUAGACGGUUAUUUAAGUCAGGUGUGAAAGCCCCGGGCUCAACCUGGGAACUGGCAUUUGAGACUGAAUAGCUAGGGUGCGGAAGAGGGAAGCGGAAUUUCCGGUGUAGCGGUGAAAUGCGUAGAUAUCGGAAGGAACACCAGUGGCGAAAGCGGCUUCCUGGUCCAGCACCGACGUCAGGCACGAAAGCGUGGGGAGCAAACAGG
rnacentral:rRNA from 1 species